UGUUUGUACCCUAACUUCACCUCAUAUAGGAUCACUCUAGAGACUUAGCCCUGGUAUUAUUGUGUGGGAGGCUUUCUAGGUCACAUCAAAUGAGAUGGGAACACCCAUGUCAACUGCAAACAGAAAGAAGAAAGCCAGCUGAGCGCCAGCAUCCCCGUCUCUCUGCUUCCUGACUGGAUACAAUGUGACCAGUACCUCAAAGAUCCCGCCUCCAUCUCUUCCCCACCAUGAUGAACUGCAACACCCUUCAACUGUGGACCUAAGUAAACAUUCUUAAGAUCCGGAUAUAGAACUCUCUCUCAUCUACUUCUCCAGCACCAUAUCUGCCUGCAAGCCACCAGGCUUCCUGACAUGAUGACAAUGGACGAAACCUCUGAACUGUCACAAGGCAACUAAUUAUUUUCUGCUUCCUGGUCACAAUGUACUUCUCAGCCACUUCUCUAGCCCUGUGCCACCCUCCCCAUCGUGAUGAUAAUGGAC